GCUGAGCGCGGUGGAGCAUGCCUGUAGUCCCAGCUACUUGGGAGGCUGAGGCUGGAGGAUCACUUGAGUCUAGGAGUUCUGGGCUGCAGUAUGCUAUGCCAAUCAGGUGUCUGCUCUAAGUUCAGCAUCAAUAUGGUGACCACCAGGUUGCCUAAGGAGGGGUGAACCAGCCCAAGUCAGAAACAAAGCAGGUCAAAACUCCUGUGCUGAUCAGUAGUGGGAUCGUGCCUGUGAAUAGCCACUGCACUCCAGCCUAGGCAACCUGGGCAACAUAGCGAGAUCCCAUCUCU
ensembl:misc_RNA Metazoa_SRP Metazoan signal recognition particle RNA